rnacentral:rRNA from 1 species
CCUACGGGUGGCAGCAGUGAGGAAUAUUGGUCAAUGGCCGGAAGGCUGAACCAGCCAUGCCGCGUGAAGGUCAGUGCCCUAUGGGCGUUAAACUUCUUUUGUGCGGGAGCAAUAAUGGUCACGUGUGGCCAGACGAUAGUACCGUACGAAUAAGCAUCGGCUAAAUCCGUGCACGCAGCCGCGGUAAUAACGGGGAUGCAAGCGUUAUCCGGGUUUGGUGGGGUUAAAGGGUGCGUAGGCUGGGAGGUAAGUCAGCGGGGAAAUGCCCCCGCCUAACGGGGUGAAGUGCCAUUGAUACUGCCUUGCUUGAGUGCGGAUGAGGUGGGAGGAAUGUGUGGUGUAGCGGUGAAAUGCAUAGAUAUAACACAGAACACCGAUUGCGAAGGCAUCUGACGAAUCGGCGAUUGACGGUGAUGCACGAAAGCGUGGGUAGCAAACAGGAUUAGAUACCCGGGUAGUC